CGCUUCCCCCGGCCCCCGCACCACCCCUCGAGCCGAACCGGCGCCGACGAGCCGCGGCACCCAAGGGCGGCGGCCUUCCUCGCCCUGGCGUCCGCGUGACAUGAUCCCUAGCCCCGUUGGGGUGGGAAUAUCCGCGCGCGCCCGAAUCGCUGCCCCCAAGCCACCCCAAUCCCAACCUCCCCACCGCAAAUCCUUCCUCCGCCUCUCCCUCCUCCUCCUCCUCCUCCACCGCCUCCAGGCGCGGCCGCAGUUGGUUGCUCGAGCUCGUGUGGCCCGGGAUCGCUGGACAGGAAGGGGCUAAUCGGUGCUCUGCAUAGGACUUUCUGGAUUUGAGUCGUUUCAUAUUCUCAGACUCACAGCUUGAUCCAGUGAUCCUAACCACGCCAGCUUGAUCAGAGUCUCACACUGAGUAUGGCGCCUCCUGCUGCCGCACCGGGUGGCUCUGAGGCUGAGGGGGCACCACGCAUGGCCAAGUUCCUCUGCAGCUUUGGAGGCAGUAUCCUUCCCCGCCCACUUGAUGGCUGUCUUCGAUAUGUCGGCGGUGAUACUCGGAUCGUCAUGCUGCCACGUGAUAUAUCAUAUGCUGACCUAGCAGCGCGGAUGAGAGAGCUUUACAAGGAUGCUGAUAUCAUCAAAUAUCAGCAACCUGAUGAGGAUCUAGAUGCGCUGGUCUCGGUUGUGAACGAUGACGAUGUGGUGAACAUGAUGGAGGAGUAUGACAAGGUCAUUGCCUCAGGGCAGGUUUUCACCCGGCUCAGGAUCUUCUUAUUUUCUCAGAAUUUGGAUGAUGAUGCUGCAUCAGCGGUUGUGCAUUACAAUGUAGAUGGGCGAGAAACUGAGAGAAGAUAUGUUGAUGCACUCAAUAGCCUUGGUGAUGCUAACAUGCCUUCCUCCCCUGUAUCAGUGGAGCAGCUUUUUGGAAUUGUAGGCAAUGACUCUGGAAUUCCUGAUUUUGCUGGCUUGAGGCAUUUGAAUGUUCCUCGUCCGUCACAGAGUCAGAGGUACGGAGAGAUGGAUUCUCCUUGGAGCCCUGCGUACAUUUCACCUGGCCAGUAUGCAGUGCAUGAUCCUAGAGAUUUCCCCAUUUCACCAUCAUCUGCAAGGUUUCAAGUCGGAGCAGAGGAUUUUGAUGAGAGGAUUCCUGAUGAUUUUGUAAGGCAGUCACCAAAAUAUCAUCAUUAUGAGCCUCAGUCACCACCACACAUGGAUGGUUUAGUUUGGCUUCCACCUGGUGCUGUAAUUCAGCAAAAUGCAGGCUUUCCUGGUAAUUUGAGCCGUUCCAACAACUUCUUGGAUGGAAACAGUGUAUCUGAUCAUUGCCGUUCCCCAUUCCACAAGGGUCAAGGUUCAGUGACUGAUCCUCGUUAUAUGGAUCCUCGUUGGAAUCGCCCUGUCCAACAACAUUUUGACCAACUAAGCAUGACUAGUGAAUACCCUGGUCACCCUUCUAAUUCUUGUUCAAAUUGCAGCCGCCCUGGUGAGCAUUAUGUGGGAGGUCAAGAUGUUAGAAUGGAAAAUGGUGUCUAUGUCAAAGAGCAAAAUGGUGGUCAUCCUCCCAUGUUUUAUAACGAGUCACAUUCGCAUGAAAGAGUUCGUCAUGCACAUACCAGUCAAAGUCAUCAACGGUAUGAGGAUCCAAGGCUGCAUCUUCCUGGUAAUGGUAGAGUGAUUGAGCCAUACAUUGUUGAUACCAACUCUGUGAAUUCUGCAUUUGCACCAAACAAAGUAUAUGAAAUGCAUUCAGCAUCUCUUGGUCGUUCUAGCCAUGAAAGUCCUCACUACUUCCAUGGUAGUAGUGAGCAUGACACAUAUCACAACCAACAAGUUGGAGGCAGUGGACCAUAUUUGCAGCCAGCAGGGUAUGAAGAAUCCCCUGGUCAGCAUUACAACCACUCUUCGACGUAUGGUGCAGAUUCCUUUUACCAAAUGCAACAGAAUUUGCCACCCAUUCAAUCUCUGAGGAGGAGAGCGAGCAGUCCUGUUCAUGCUGCCUCACCAUAUGAUUCGCCACACCUGCCAAUGCCAAAUGGGAGCAUUAACACCAACUUCGUUAGAAAUACAGGUGAUGUUAGUCCGAGGAUACCAGGUCAACCUCCAUAUGACCGAAUGCCAAAUCCAUGGGCUCCUCCCAAUGGCAGCAUACCAUACAGAGUUGUUGGGCAUGAUGUUCCUGUUGCCAUGGAAAACACUAGUGCUCUUGGUCCUAGGUCUAAUCCAAUUACUGCUCAAUAUGUUCAACCUUUCAUUGCCCCUGAAAUCCAGCAUCAACACGGAGCUCCAUCGAGAGAGGUGAACCCUGAAAGAGCCUGUGCUGAACACAUGCCAUCAUCAUAUGUAGAUGGCGGAGUAGCUGUUUCUGCAUUGCCCCUCGCUGAUCAAUCAUCCAAGUUGAAUACUAAGACAAUGAAGAAACCAGGCCCAGAGGAUGAUAGCUCUUCUAGAAAUGUGAAUGACGGAACUCCUUUGCACGCUGUGGACGAACCAAGUACUGUACCCCACCAUGUUGGAGCUGUACAUGAAAUUGAUCCUAAGCUGGGGAAACCAACUGAGCAUGAAAGCAGAACAAAGCAAUACGAAGCUGGGGCGACAGCACGGCAGGAAUGCGGGGACAUUUCAGAGGAUAGGUUAAAUUUCCUUCCUGAGUUGAUUGCCUCUGUUAAAAAGGCUGCACUGGAAGAUGCUAAUGCUGCUGGUGCACCUGUUCCUGAUGAUGACGAUAAUGGAAAGAAGUUGGAUGUGGCAACUGCUGGUAAUACAGAUGCAAAUCAGGAUUCUGAUUUGCCUGGAAGCAAUGAUCAGCAGAAGAGCUCCAAGAUUGAAUCUACAACUGCUGAAGCUGAAGCUUUGUCUAAAGGACUACAGACUAUAAACAAUGAUGAUUUGGAGGAAAUUAGAGAGCUUGGUUCCGGUACAUACGGGGCGGUCUACCAUGGUAAAUGGAGGGGAUGUGAUGUUGCCAUUAAAAGAAUAAAAGCGAGUUGCUUUGCUGGAAGACCGUCUGAGAGAGAGCGUUUGAUUGCGGAUUUCUGGAAAGAAGCCCAGAUCCUAAGCUCACUUCAUCAUCCAAAUGUGGUUUCAUUUUAUGGUGUAGUUCGUGAUGGUCCAGAUGGAAGCUUAGCGACAGUUACUGAGUUUAUGGUCAAUGGGUCUCUCAAGCAAUUCCUGAGGAAAAAAGACAGGACAAUUGAUCGCCGGAAGCGAGUAAUAUUAGCCAUGGAUGCUGCAUUUGGCAUGGAGUAUUUGCAUGGGAAGAAUAUAGUCCAUUUCGACCUGAAGUGUGAGAAUCUACUUGUGAACAUGAGGGAUCCACAGCGUCCAAUCUGCAAGAUCGGUGAUCUCGGACUAUCAAAGGUUAAACAACAUACUUUGGUAUCCGGUGGUGUUAGAGGAACCUUACCAUGGAUGGCACCAGAGCUUCUGAGUGGGAAAAGUAAUAUGGUGUCAGAGAAGAUUGAUGUCUAUUCAUUUGGUAUUGUCAUGUGGGAGCUGCUUACUGGGGAAGAGCCAUACUCUGAUAUGCGUGCCGCUGAAAUUAUUGGGGGCAUCGUGAACGAUUCUCUACGUCCUCAAAUCCCCUCAUGGUGUGAUCCUGAGUGGAAGGCGUUGAUGGAAAGCUGUUGGUCUAGUGAUCCAACUGGGAGGCCGUCCUUCACUGAUAUAUCUCAAUGGUUGAGGAAAAUGGCUGCUUCAAUGAAUGUGAAAUAAAGGCUAGGAAGCCCCUAAAUGGAUCGUGUGUGUGUUCCCACAUACAAUAUAUGAUUACAAGAGGAAGGCAAAGUUUAAACCGGGUUAUAUGGAGUAAAUAUUUUUCAAACAUCUUGGCACAUCUCAGUUUACCCUACUCCAAGUGAUAAUUUUAUUAAGUGCUUCGUGGAAGAAAAGUUUUAUCAUUGGAAAUUCCAGAGCAUGCUUAAGGAACUUUUUACCCUGGAGUAAUCAGCUUGUCUUCCCCCUAAACAGUUUGCUAUAUAGGGUAUCAACUUGAUGGGAACUGUUGGACUGUAAUGUACAUAAGUUUUGUUUUGCUUUAUCGGCUGGCACAUGUUAGAUGUGCACAGUAAUAGGCACGGUUCAAAGGUGGACACAGCUAUCUUAUUUUCCCCAACAGAUUGUGUCCAUGGAGAGAUGGAACGAACUUGAAUAGAUAUAUCCUUGUUCAGAUUGUACAGUUUAUGAAUAAGAGUCCUAUAUUGUUUUUUCUGUAUAUAUCAUUAUUUCUAGUUUGAACUCACAUGCUUAUUUACAUCCCGGGUGUCGCCUCAUGGUGACAAAUGUAUUCGCCUGUCUUGUUUGAUUGGAAGUUUUGUAAUGGACGGAGGGGAACUUAGCCCAACCCCUAAUAAUUGCAAGGAAAAUGAGCUAAUUUUCAUGUCAA